GACGAACGCUGGCGGCGUGCCUAAUACAUGCAAGUAGAACGCUGAAGAGAGGAGCUUACUCUUCUUGGAUGAGUUGUGAACGGGUGAGUGACGCGUAGGUACCCUGCCUUGUAGCGGGGGAUAACUAUUGGAAACGAUAGCUAAUACCGCAUAACAAUGGAUGACACAUGUUGUUUAUUUGAUAGGGGCAAUUGCUGCACUACAAGAUGGACCUGCGUUGUAUUAGCUAGUAGGUGCGGUAAUGGCUCACCUAGGCGACGAUACAUAGCCGACCUGAGAGGGUGGUCGGCCACACUGGGACUGAGACACGGCCCAGACGCCUACGGGAGGCAGCAGUAGGGAAUCUGCGGGAAGGGGGGCAACCCUUACCGAGCAACGCCGCGGGAGUGAAGAAGGUUUUCGGAUCGUAAAGCUCGGUUGUAAGUCAAGAACGGGUGUGAGAGUGGAAAGUUCACACUGUGACGGUAGCUUACCAGAAAGGGACGGCUAACUACGUG
rnacentral:rRNA from 1 species